ANNNNNGGGGGCCCACACAAGCGGUGGAGCAUGUGGUUUAAUUCGACGCAACGCGAAAAACCUUACCUGGGUUUGACAUGCCGAGUACCCGAUGGAAACAUUGGGGUGCCCCGUAAGGGGAACUUGGACACAGGUGCUGCAUGGCUGUCGUCAGCUCGUGCCGUGAGGUGUUGGGUUAAGUCCCGCAACGAGCGCAACCCUCACCCUUAGUUGCCAUCAUUAAGUUGGGCACCCUAAGGGAACUGCCGCAGUUAAUGCGGAGGAAGGUGGGGAUGACGUCAAGUCCUCAUGGCCCUUAUAUCCAGGGCUACACACGUGCUACAAUGGACGGUACAAAGGGUCGCGAACCUGUAAGGGGGAGCUAACCCCAGAAAACCGCUCUCAGUUCGGAUUGGAGUCUGCAACCCGACUCCAUGAAGUUGGAAUCGCUAGUAAUCGCGGAUCAGAACGCCGCGGUGAGUACGUUCCCGGGCCUUGUACACACCGCCCGUCACACCACGAAAGUUUGUUGUACCAGAAGUCAUUGGGUUAACCCGCAAGGGAGACAGAUGCCGAAGGUAUGGCAGGUGACUGGGGUGAAGUCGUAACAAGGUAACC
rnacentral:rRNA from 1 species